UCCUGGGCCGGGUGCAGUUGGCGGGUUGUAACCCCUUGCUCAGGUUGACGUGUGGGCGCGGCUGUCUGGCCGCUACGUACCGGUUCGCAGAGCAUGACUCGGCCUCCGCAGGGCUUCUUAAAUUAUCCUAGUUAUCUUCAUGCCCACAAGAAACCAGGGCCGAAUUAAUUGAAUCAGUCGCCAAGUGGGUAGGCCCACUUCUUUCCCUUCAGCUCUGCCGCCUAGAUGGCUGUACCACAUUUCCCAGCAUCCCCCCUCCCGGGAUAUGGCAAUGUGACAGAGCUCGGGCCAGAUGACGUCCACUACUUCCAGUACUGGCCAUGCAAACCUGCCACAAGCCAUUCUCCAAGCUCUUGCUCUUUCUAUGGCAACCUUGGGAGCCGAGUAGCACAGGUGGAUCCCUGCCUCAUCUGCCUCGCCAGCCCACUUGUACUCAUCCUCUGUGACUCAGCACAGACCCCAGGUCUUCCGGGACAGCUUCCUGGAAGGAGUGAGGGAGCUCUGCCUUUGUGCCCUCAAGACAGGAGCACCCCAGUCUUGAGCUUUGAAUGUUGCCUGGAAGGAGAGGUUAUGUGAUUUGGGAACUUACCCAUUUGACUCCAAAGACUAUAAACGCCUGAAUGGGGUACUGUGUUUUUCUUCACUGUGACUCCAAAGCCUUCAACAGUGUUUGACACUUACCAAGUGCUCAACAUGUGUUUUUGAAUGAAUGAAUGAACUAACAGGAGACUGCUGCAGUGGCCCAGGCAAGAGAUGAUAAAGUGGAUUAGAGUAGGUUCUGUGGGCUUGGAAAUGAACUCAAGAAUGUAAAGAAUAUUUCAAAGAAAGAAACUGGGGUGAUGUGGUGCCAAAUAGACUAUGGUGACCACAGAUGCCAGAAGAACUAGAACCAAGGUACAGGAGGAUAAUGGUGAUUCUGACAGCUCAGGGAAGUUGGGGUGGGGGACUGGAGGGAAUUUUAUUCCUAUGUCUGCAGAGCAGAAAAAUUCUCCAAGAUGCAGGUACCCUGUGCCCUCCCUUACCUGAGCUGUCCUUUUUGUUCUCUGUCUUUUUGCUGCUCCUGGAACUCCAGUCAUUUCAGGAUCAAGGAAAUGAAGGUCAGAAGGAAAAGAAUAGAGCAUGAGACUCUUGUUUUAAAUCUUGUUUCUCGUUAUAUUUUUCCUGAUGCAACAAAAGCUUUAGAGGCAGAUAUAAAUAUGAAAAAGGACAGCUGUGGCUAUAUUGGGUGGAUGUGACCCAUAUUAAAGCACCAGAAGGAAAACUAAAGAAGGGGGAGGUAGGAUGGGGUAGGGGUUUGGGGAGCAGAACCCUUGAUGCUGAUUUUGCUGAGGUGGAGUGGGCGUGACUCCAUCUGUUUGGCAUCUCAGCCAUUUAUUUUAUUUGCUGUAAGUUGCAUAUUGUUGUUGAUGUGCUAAAACUGCAGCCAGACCAGAACCUGCCUAAAUGAGGACAAAAAUCAUCACUCCAGGGCUUCAUGCUGGGAAAUGAAAGAAAAGAAACUAAACGUCUGUACAAAGUAAUUGUUUGAGAUAGGGAAGCAAAAAUUAAAUGUUCCCUGUUUCUCGCAUCCCUCUGAUCCGUCUUGCAUAUGACAGCCUGGACUCGGUUGCCAUGGCUCCCGGGCUGGUCCCUCCACACCUAGCCUCCCUCUCUUCAAAUCUUUGUCACAGCAGCAGCCAGCUUGACCUUUUAAAAAUGUAAAUGGGAUCACAUCACUUCCCUGUUUAAAAUGCUGCUAAGGUUCCCAUUACAGUUAAAGCUUAAAUCCAUUCGCGUGGCUUCCCAGGCCCUGCCUGGCUUGGGCCCUGCCCACUUCUACAUAUGUCCUCCUACCAACAUCCCCAGUUCCCCACUGAUAUUCUGUCCCUUUCUUUACACUGACUCAGUAAGCUUCUUACUCAGGGCGAAGCCUCAGUCUUAUACCCAUUUGUUCCCUUAGCCUGCACAGCUUUCCCCAUCCUUUAUCUGACUUCUGUGAGUUUUUCCUUCAGGUCUUCAACUUCUCUGACCUUUCAGAGAUGUUAAAAUCUCUCUGUGCCAGUACCAGUAGCCCCCCAGCAUCCCUUCUUCCCUUCUCCUGCUAAGGCAGAGCGUCUAAUUUUGUGUUGGGCCCAUGGCUAUGCCGAGUGGAGGCUUCAUUUCCCGGCCUCCUUUGCAACCGGAUGUGACUAUCGUUAUUCAGUGUCUAAGUCGUGUCCCACUCUUUGCAAUUCCGUAGACUGCAGCACACCAGGCUCCUCUGCUUUCCACUAUCUCCUGGACUUUGUUCAAAUUCAUGUUCAUUGAGUCGGUCAUGCUAUCUAACCAUCUCAUCCUCUGCCACCCCUUCUCCUCCUGCCUUCGAUCUUUCCCAGCAUCAGGGUCUUUUCCAAUGAGUCGAUUCAUCACAUAAGGUGACCAAAGUAUUGGAGCUUCAGCUUCAGCAGCAGUUCUUCCAAUGAAUAUUGAGGGUUGAUUUCCUUUAGAAUUGACUGGUUUGAUCUUGCAGUCCAAAGGACUCUCAAGAGUCUUCUCCAGUACCACAAUUUGAAAGUAUCAAUUCUUUGGUGCUUAGCUUUCUUUCUGGUCCAACUCUCACAUCCAUACAUGACUACUGGAAAAACCAUAGCUUUGACUAAAUAUAGGUGUGGCUAAUGAGGUAUAAACAGAGGCUGUCCUAAGAGUAAUAAAAUCUGUGAGUUAACAUUUUGAGACAAUCUAAAAAUUGCUUCAGAAUAUCUUGUUCUGGGAAUUCCCUGAUGGUUCAAUGGUUAGAACUCUGCACUUCCACUGCCUGGAGUCGGGAGUUCCACCCUUGGUCAGUGAGCUAAGAGCUCGAAAGCUGAGUGGCGUGGUCAAAAAAAAAAAAAAAAAAUGCUGUAUUAAGUCCAGAGCUCUCCUGUUCAGAAUGUGAUAUCUUACACCCUGGAACUUCUUCAUUACAGAUCUCUGUGUGAUAUACCAAGUGACAACCCCAGUAUAAAAAAUUCUUCAACAGUGGGCAACUAAUGAGUCUUUUUCUUGUGUUAUCACUUUUCUACUUUCAGCCCAAGUUAGAAUACAAGUUAAUAUUUAUUGAGAGUUAACUUAUCUGCCUCUAAAUUUGCUGAGGACCAGCCAAGCACUUGAUGCAUAUGGUUCAUUUUAUACUGACACUAUCUGGAUGAGCUUGGCAUUAUCAUAAUUUCCACUUUACAGAUCUGAAAACUGAGGCCCAGAAGAGUUAAGCAAUGUGCCCAAGGGCUCAUAGUCAGAGCGGUGACUUGGGUCCAAAGCUAUGUGAGUACUUACCCACUAUGAAACUUUGCCUCCUCUGAGCUCUCCUGAUUUUCAGCUUAUUACUGGCCCUCAUACACACAAAAAAACUUUCUUUUUUUUUUUUUUUAAAUUCUGUCUCUGAGUUGCUGGUCCCUGUUAUGACAAAAUCUCCUUCUCUGGUGUUUUUCUCUUCUGGUGACAUUUACUAAUUUAUUUCUGUUCUCCCUAUUCUUUGAAACCACAUGUCAAGUUCACUAGGACCCUGGUUCCCACUGGAUCUUCGCUCUCUGGCCAUGGUACCCUGAUGUCUAAGUGCUCUCUACUUUUGUCUCUCUAAUACCAGCCAGUCCUAAGAGUCAACCCUAAGUCAUCUGUACCUACAAUGACAUUUCCUCAGACAUGGAGCAGACAGGCCUACAUGAGGGAGCUUUCCAGAAAACACUUAAAAAGUGACCACAGAAGCUCCAUAAAGUCCAAGCAGAGGCCAAGUAUGUAGGUAAAGGAACUCAGUGAUAGAGGAUGUUUUAAACAAUGUCUUGAUUAUUUCUCAGUAGGAAAUCUAGGAACUAGAUUAGAAAUUAGGUUUUACUUUUCCACUGUGUUACUAAUUUAUUCUUAAUAUUAAAGAAGUUACUUUUCAUUUUUUAUGAAUAUCCUCCUCUGAAGUCAAGCCCACAGUGCUUGUGGAGAAGGACAAUCAGGCAAAGAGACCAGGAAAAGGUUUCCCUGAGUCAAGAAUACAGACUGGAUUGGAUAUGGAAGGGCAGUAUUUCAUGUACUUCCUUGUGCCCCUUAACCAGAUUACUUGGUUUCUGGGUCUCUGGGACAGACCACCUGGGGACAUCAAGCUGGCUGGAUUUGAGUCAUGUACCUGAACAGGUUGUGCUGAUGCAAGUCCGCAAAGAUCUGACAGAGGGCCUCACUCUCCCCUUUGGCCAUCAGCUGCAUGAGGCUCUCGCUGGGCUGGGAAGCUUGGGGUUUCUUCUGUACUAACUAGAUGGAGGAAAGAAAAACAAGGCCAGGUUGUUAAGGUCUUAGCAUCUCUGCAUUUUCCUAAUAUCAUGGUCUAGACCGUGAAGUGUUAGAACCUAAAGUGUUCCAUCAGACAGAGCCAUGCCAGCAGCUGAGAGAGGCAAUUCUGAGGCUGCAUCUGUUCGUUUUGAUCUCUAUUGUUAUAAAUUUCCUUUGAUGUCCUAAGAAUAAUAUUGUUUUUUUUAAGAAUAAUACUGUUAUUGAAAACUUUAAACAUAAUUUAGUGUACCUAAGCUAUUCUUAACAUACCUUACUAUGUUAUUGAACAGUCUGUUAAUAUAAACUUUAAUAAAACUUACCAUACUUGGUUUUAUAUUUACAUAGAGGGGGUUAAAUGUCUAUUGUAGAAAUUUAAUGUUUUUAAAAUUCAUUUCUCUAAGAAA